rnacentral:rRNA from 1 species
UACAGAGGUGGCAAGCGUUGUUCGGAAUUACUGGGCGUAAAGGGCGCGUAGGCGGCCAACUAAGUCAGACGUGAAAUCCCUCGGCUUAACCGGGGAACUGCAUCUGAUACUGGAUGGCUUGAGAUUGGGAGAGGGAUGCGGAAUUCCAGGUGUAGCGGUGAAAUGCGUAGAUAUCUGGAGGAACACCGGUGGCGAAGGCGGCAUCCUGGACCAACACUGACGCUGAGGAGCGAAAGCCAGGGGAGCAAACGGGG